GACGUAGGAGGCGAGCGUUAUCCGGAUUCACUGGGCGUAAAGGGCGCGUAGGUGGUUCUGUAUGUCUACCGUGAAAGCGUACGGCUCAACCGUAUUUUGUCGGUGGAAACUGCAGGACUUGAGGCUGGGAGGGGCUGGUGGAAUUCCCUGUGUAGCGGUGAAAUGCGUAGAGAUGGGGGAGAACACUCGUGGCGAAGGCGGCCAGCUAGACCAGUUCUGACACUGAGGCGCGACAGCGUGGGGAGCAAACAGG
rnacentral:rRNA from 1 species